rnacentral:rRNA from 1 species
UACGGGGGGGGCAAGCGUUGUUCGGAAUUACUGGGCGUAAAGGGUGCGUAGGCGGUGCUCUAAGUCGGAUGUGAAAACUCUGGGCUCAACCCAGAGCCUGCAUCCGAAACUGGAGUGCUAGAGUUCUGGAGGGGGUAGCGGAAUUCCUGGUGUAGCGGUGAAAUGCGUAGAUAUCAGGAGGAACACCGGUGGCGAAGGCGGCUACCUGGACAGAAACUGACGCUGAGGAGCGAAAGCGUGGGUAGCAAACAGG